UACGAAGGGGGCUAGCGUUGUUCGGAUUAACUGGGCGUAAAGCGCGCGUAGGCGGGUUUUUAAGUCAGGGGUGAAAUCCCAAGGCUCAACCUUGGAACUGCCUUUGAUACUGGAAAUCUUGAGUCCGGGAGAGGUGAGUGGAACUGCGAGUGUAGAGGUGAAAUUCGUAGAUAUUCGCAAGAACACCAGUGGCGAAGGCGGCUCACUGGCCCGGUACUGACGCUGAGACGCGAAAGCCAGGGGAGCGAACGGG
rnacentral:rRNA from 1 species